AGAAGGGCCUAUGGGUGCAGAGUUCAUCUGCUUGACAGGAGUGAACCGUUGAAACCCACGCUGGUGAUAAGGGAUUACGCAUCUGCCGCGCUCCGCUAACUAGCAAUUGGUGCUUGGACAAAGUGUCACCUUCGCCAAGGCACUGUCUCCCCAAGGAAGUCGCCUGCAAGCCUGAGUGCUUUGGUGACAUGAGGUCGCUGCUAGUCCCGUGUGUUUCCACCUGUGACAACGACUUUGGGAACCCUUGGUCAAGAAAAUGUACUUUGCCAGGAAUGGUGGCACAUGCCUUUAAUCCCAGCAUUCAGAAGGAAGAGAAAUUUCAUUUUGGGCCACCACAGAGAAAUACUAUGCAAAGCUUCAUUGUCUUGUGGAUAUGUAGAACCUACUAGGAACAUACAAGCUCUAAAUAAUGCCCAACUCUGCUGGAUGAAGCAUGAAGCCAGCCACUCUCAUCUUCUUCCACAAAACCAAAAACAACCCCCAAAACAAAUAAUGCUGAAAUUCUAAAUGGAAGAAAUAGAAGUA
rnacentral:lncRNA from 1 species